GAUGAAGAACGUAGCGAAAUGCGAUAAGUAAUGUGAAUUGCAGAAUUCAGUGAAUCAUCGAAUCUUUGAACGCACCUUGCGCUCUUUGGUAUUCCGAAGAGCAUGCCUGUUUGAGUGUCAUGAAAAUAUCAACCUUGACUUGGGUUUUGUGCUCUAGUCUCGGCUUGGAAUUGGGUGCUUGCCGCUUUUACGAGCGGCUCACCUUAAAUGUAUUAGCUGGAUCUGUCUUUGAGACUUGGUUUGACUUGGCGUAAUAAGUAUUUCGCUAAGGACAUUCUUCGGAGUGGCCUCGUUUCUAGGACGCUUGUCCGCUUUCCAAUACAAGUUCCACCUCGUGGACAUGACUUUUUAUUAUCUGGCCUCAAAUCAGGUAGGACUACCCGCUGAACUUAAGCAUACAAUAAGCGGAGGA
rnacentral:misc_RNA from 1 species